GAUGAACGCUAGCGGCAGGCCUAAUACAUGCAAUUCGGACGGGAUUGGAGAGCUUGCUUUCCAUGAGAGUGGCGCACGGGUGCGUAACACGUAUGUAACCUACCUUAGUCAGGGGGAUAGCCUCUCGAAAGAGAGAUUAACACCGCAUAACAUUAUGCUAUGGCAUCAUAUUAUAAUCAAAUAUUUAUAGGACUAAAAUGGGCAUGCGGAACAUUAGAUAGUUGGUAAGGUAACGGGUUACCAAGGCAACGAUGUUUAGGGGAUCUGAGAGGAUGACCCCCCACACUAGUACUGCGACAAGGACCAGACUCCUACGGGAGGCAGCAGUAAGGAAUAUUCGUCAAUGGACGCAAGUCUGAACCAGCCAUGCCGCGUGCAGGAAGACGGCCCUACGGGUUGUAAACUGCUUUUGUACCGGAAUAAACCUUUUCACGUGUGAGAAGCUGAAUGUACGGUAAGAAUAAGGAUCGGCUAACUCCGUGCCAGCAGCCGCAGUAA
rnacentral:rRNA from 1 species